CUGCAACAAGCACGCAAAGCUCCCAUGUUUCCACACAAGCAUGAAGCCUCUUAACACAUGAUGUCAUGAUGUAUACUUCCAAUUCUGAUUCCAGAUGGCAAAGGCGCGGGCGAGGCGAGGGAAGCGGGAAGCAGCCAAGGCGAAGGCGUAAGGUGUAGCGGGAAGUUCAAAUAUGUAACGGGCCUGAUGGUCUCAGCGGUAGUGGGCCAGAGAGCCGUAGCAAGUAGGCCUAUGUGUCCUGCGGGUUAUAAGCAGGUGGGCGAGGGAGAGAACGGUACGAAGAGAUUUCUGUAAUUCAAACUGUACCACUUCUAUCUUAUCCUCCUGCUUACGUCUCCUA